GAUGAACGCUGGCGGCGUGCCUAAUACAUGCAAGUCGAGCGAACAGACGAGGAGCUUGCUCCUCUGACGUUAGCGGCGGACGGGUGAGUAACACGUGGAUAACCUACCUAUAAGACUGGGAUAACUUCGGGAAACCGGAGCUAAUACCGGAUAAUAUAUUGAACCGCAUGGUUCAAUAGUGAAAGACGGUUUUGCUGUCACUUAUAGAUGGAUCCGCGCCGCAUUAGCUAGUUGGUAAGGUAACGGCAUACCAAGGCAACGAUGCGUAGCCGACCUGAGAGGGUGGUCGGCCACACUGGAACUGAGACACGGUCCAGACUCCUACGGGAGGCAGCAGUAGGGAAUCUUCCGCAAUGGGCGAAAGCUUGACGGAGCAACGCCGCGUGAGUGAUGAAGGUCUUCGGAUCGUAAAACUCUGUUAUUAGGGAAGAACAAAUGUGUAAGUAACUAUGCACGUCUUGACGGUACCUAAUCAGAAAGCCACGGCUAACUACGUG
rnacentral:rRNA from 1 species